rnacentral:misc_RNA from 1 species
AAGUCGUAACAAGGUUUCCGUAGGUGAACCUGCGGAAGGAUCAUUAACACGUAUCCAACGUUAAACCCCCCGUGAACCUUCAGAACAGUUUUGAUUCAGGGACUUCUGCGUAGACUGCUUGAGCGUGAGGCAAGUGGCCUGGCAUUCCUCUGCUUGUUGGUGUCUGAAAGUGUCACCAGCUCUGUUGGGCGCGAGCCCCCCUCGUCACCUUUGCAUGAAAACGGGCCUGCGCUUAAUUGUGCGGCCACCAAACUCGAACAACUGUUAACAAUGGAUAUCUUGGUUCUC